rnacentral:rRNA from 1 species
AUUGAACGCUGGCGGCAGGCCUAACACAUGCAAGUCGAACGAGUGGCGGACGGGUGAGAAAUGUAUGGGACAGUGCCUGAUGGCGGGGGAUAACUACUGGAAACGGUAGCUACUACCGCAUACCCACAGAUGCGCCCAGAUGGGACUAGCUUGUUGGUGGGGUAACGGCUCACCAAGGCGACGAUCACUAGCUGGUCUGAGAGGGUGACCAGCCACACUGGAACUGAGACACGGUCCAGACUCCUACGGGAGGCAGCAGUGGGGAAUAUUGCACAAUGGGCGAAAGCCUGAUGCAGCCAUGCCGCGUGUGUGAAGAAGGCCUUCGGGUUGUAAAGUACUUUCAGCGGGGAGGCGUUACCCGCAGAAGAAGCACCGGCUAACUCCGUGCCAGCAGCCGCGGUAAUUC